AAUGUACUCCCUCCGUCCGAAAAUACUUGUCCUUAAAAUGAUUGUAUCUAGACUUAUUUUAGUUAUAGAUACAUCCAUUUUAUCCAUUUCUAGGACAAGCGUUUCUCGACGGAGGGAGUAUGAG
rfam:Triticum urartu cultivar G1812 contig125729, whole genome shotgun sequence.